GGGAUGUGGCUGUACGCAUCAAGGUUGUCCACGGUCUCCGGAUCCAACUGCAUCGAAUCCAUGAACUGGCUGUGAGGGCAAGAGGACCAGGCAGCACUGGGGACCCCACAGACAUCUGCUGUGUCACCUCCAGCCCCACACUCACUCCAGGACUUCAUUCUUGUCCUCAAUCUUGGCCAUCAUCUCCCGAAGCAGCUUGGCCUUCUCCUCACUGCAGAAGUGACAGCAGUUGUUGGAAACCUAUGUCCUGAGACAUCCCAACCCCACGUGUGCUAAGAACGGGGCCGGCCCCUCCCGCCCACCUGUACAGUGACGACGCUUCGUGGGCAGCCAUGGGUACCAGUUUGGCAAAGAUGUCAGGGCCCGUGACGGCCGGGUCUGUGGGGUUCACUGGUAAGGGCUUUACCAAGGGGGCACCUGGGAGGGAGAGGAACAACUGGAAACCAAGUCCACACAA